rfam:Triticum urartu cultivar G1812 contig753562, whole genome shotgun sequence.
GAGGUAUCAGAAGUGCGAAUGCUGACAUGAGUAGCGUUAAAGCGGGUGAAAAGCCCGCUCGCCGUAAGCGCAAGGUUUUCUACGCAACGUUCAUCGGCGUAGAGUAAGUCGGCCCCUAAGGUGAGGCAGAGAUGCGUAACUGAUGGGAAACGGGUCAAUAUUCCCGUACCGAUGUGUAGUGCGAUGUGGGGACGAAGAAGGUUAGCUCAGCCAACUGUUGGAUAUGUUGGUUCAAGCCUGUAGUCGUGCUCGGUAGGCAAAUCCGCCGGGCUAAGAUGAGGGGUGAUAACGGGUCUGCUUGCAGACGAAGUGAGUGAUACCCAGCUUCCAGGAAAAGCCACUAAGCUUCAGCUACACACGACCGUACCGCAAACCGACACUGGUGCGCGAGAUGAGUAUUCUAAGGCGCUUGAGAGAACUCAGGAGAAGGAACUCGGCAAAUUGACACCGUAACUUCGGGAGAAGGUGUGCCCUCAGUAAGUGAAGUUGUACAAACGGAGCUAAACGGGGUUGCAAAGAAUAGGUGGCUGCGACUGUUUAAUAAAAACACAGCACUCUGCAAACACGAAAGUGGACGUAUAGGGUGUGACGCCUGCCCGGUGCUGGAAGAUUAAAUGAUGGGGUGCAAGCUCUUGAUUGAAGUCCCAGUAAACGGCGGCCGUAACUAUAACGGUCCUAAGGUAGCGAAAUUCCUUGUCGGGUAAGUUCCGACCUGCACGAAUGGCGUAACGAUGGCCACACUGUCUCCUCCUGAGACUCAGCGAAGUUGAAAUGUUUGUGAUGAUGCAAUCUCCCCGCGGAAAGACGGAAAGACCCCAUGAACCUUUACUGUAGCUUUGUAUUGGACUUUGAACAGAUCUGUGUAGGAUAGGUGGGAGGCUUUGAAGUGAGGAUGCUAGUUCUCAUGGAGCCAACGUUGAAAUACCACCCUGGUGUGUUUGAGGUUCUAACCUUGGUCCAUUAUCUGGAUCGGGGACAGUGCAUGGUAGGCAGUUUGACUGGGGCGGUCUCCUCCCAAAGCGUAACGGAGGAGUUCGAAGGUACGCUCGGACAUCGCGCACUGUGUGCAAAGGCAUAAGCGUGCUUGACUGCAAGAUCGACGGAUCAAGCAGGUAGGAAACUAGGACUUAGUGAUCCGGUGGUUCUGUAUGGAAGGGCCAUCGCUCAACGGAUAAAAGGUACUCCGGGGAUAACAGGCUGAUACCGCCCAAGAGUUCAUAUCGACGGCGGUGUUUGGCACCUCGAUGUCGGCUCAUCUCAUCCUGGGGCUGUAGUCGGUCCCAAGGGUAUGGCUGUUCGCCAUUUAAAGAGGUACGUGAGCUGGGUUUAAAACGUCGUGAGACAGUUUGGUCCCUAUCUUCCGUGGGCGCUGCAGAUUUGAGGAAGCCUGCUCCUAGUACGAGAGGACCGGAGUGGACACACCUCUGGUGUAUCGGUUGUCACGCCAGUGGCAUUGCCGAGUAGCUAUGUGUGGAAGAGAUAACCGCUGAAAGCAUCUAAGCGGGAAACUCGUUCCAAGAUGAGAUCUGCCGGGGGCUUGACCCCCCUGAAGAGUCGUUCUAGACCAGGACGUUGAUAGGUUGGGUGUGGAAGCGCAGCAAUGCGUUAAGCUAACCAAUACUAAUUGCUCGUGCGGCUUGACCCU